UGAGGAAUAUUGGUCAAUGGGCUUACGCCUGAACCAGCCAAGUCGCGUGAGGGAAGACUGCCCUAUGGGUUGUAAACCUCUUUGUCAGGGAGCAACGCCGGCUACGUGUAGCCGGACUGAGAGUACCUGAAGAAAAA
rnacentral:rRNA from 1 species